GGACAGAUUGAAGGUAAAAGAAGGAGACUGCAAUGAAUGAUAUGAUGGAUAGAUAGUGUCAUGGAAACAACAAAUGUGAAUGUGGACAGACUUGGAGAGAGAGUGGAGGACAGAAGAUCCUGCUGUGCUGUGGUCACAGAGGGUUGGGCAAGAUUGAAUGACUGAAAAACAACAUGGUCUCUCAGGGACACCUAAAGGCUGGGAAACAGAGGCUCCACUCACAUGAGGGCAGGACCAAGAUAAAAUAUUUGACCUCAGCAAAUUCCUGUCCUUCUUCUUCAGAGACCUACUUAUUCUUUUAG
rnacentral:lncRNA from 1 species